GGAUGCAAAGCGUCAACCAAAUAUGUCUUUAAGAGAGGGAGGAGAAAAUCCUGACUGAAGGAAUGUCCACAUAAAUUAUUUUUAUUUAAAUGAAUUCAGAGGAUGGGUGAGGGCAAGUCAGAAGGAGUCACAUGGAAAACAUGCAUAAUAUUAAUAUGCAUAAAGAAUUCUCACUGAGGAGAAUCUCCUCACUACAGCUCAUGGGACAAACAGGUUCAUUAGGAAAUAGCUCAGAGCAACUACAGCAUUUUGCUAUUUCAAUUUUUUCCCUUAUUUUAAAUGAAGAGUCAGACAGAUGUGUUUUCUUUGCAUGGCAGCAUUGAGAUAGAUCCAGUCUGUGAAAUCUGCUGCCCAAAUAGCAUCUCUAAUGGAAACUGGAACUAAGCAAGGGCACGGAUAUGGAAGGGAGGAGACAAGAGAAAAUACGUGAAGAGGAGUAUAUUCAGAGCCACUGCAUGACAUUUUGUAGCACAGGAGAUUUUCAGAAACAAUCUUUGCUGUAUUAGUCUCAGAUGUGGGCUCCUGAUGUAGGGAGCUAUCAGGGUUUUCCAAGAUGAACACUGAGACAGGCCCUUCUAGUUCUGAGGCCGAGGAAAGCAGCGGCAACUUGGUGUCUGUCCCUCCCCUGUCCCCCCAGCUGUUUACAGCUCAGAAGCCAAAAAGCACAACUACUGCUAAUUUGGGGAUGCAGUAGAGUGCCACUGAUCCAGGUGGACAAAAGAAAUAUGUUUUUGGAAACCAAUAAAGCAAAAAUAAUCUGGAGCUGCCUUGCUUGAAGCAGAGUGGAUUCAGAUCCCUCCCUGUCAGACCCCUGCCCUUCCUUCAAUAUUGGCAUCUAAGGAACCUACCUCUACAGGGUUUGGGGAAGAACAUGUUGGAAGUUACAGCAAGAAGCAAUACAAAUAAUUGAACACAAAGAAGUAAAAACUUUGCAACUUGAAUUCUUUGCUAGCUGGCAGGCUACCAUGUAAUAACAGCUCAGAAUUAUCUUAUGUUAGUAAAUAUACAAAUGUUUGAAUUCAAUUUAUGUAAGUUUGAAUUCUACUUAGAUUUCUGUAAUUAGA